rnacentral:snoRNA from 1 species
CGCGCGGAUUAACUUACUGGCCUGCCCCUUGUUACCCAUGGGCAGCUCAGUAUACGCCCUCGCGACACCAACGGCCGUUGUGCUCCCCCCGCUUGCCGCUGCACCCACUCGCUCCGCGCGGGGCAGCAGCCGGGAGCUCGGCACACAC